rnacentral:rRNA from 1 species
AGUGAACGCUGGCGGUAGGCCUAACACAUGCAAGUCGAACGGCAGCACAGUAAGAGCUUGCUCUUACGGGUGGCGAGUGUCGGACGGGUGAGGAAUACAUCGGAAUCUACUUUUUCGGGGGGGAUAACGGAGGGAAACUUACGCUAAUACCGCAUACGACCUACGGGUGAAAGCAGUGGAUCUUCGGACCUUGCGCGAUUGAAUUAGCCGAUGUCGGAUUAGCUAGUUGGCGAGGUAAAGGCACACCAAGGCGACGAUCCGUAGCUGGUCUGAGAGGAUGAUCAGCCACACUGGAACUGAGACACGGUCCAGACUCCUACGGGAGGCAGCAGUGGGGAAUCUUCGACAAUGGGCGAAAGCCUGAUCCAGCAAUACCGCGUGGGUGAAGAAGGCCUUCGGGUUGUAAAGCCCUUUUGUUGGGAAAGAAAAGCAGCAGGUUAAUCCCCCGCUGUUCUGACGGUACCCAAAGAAUAAGCACCGGCUAACUUCGUG